rnacentral:rRNA from 1 species
GACGAACGCUGGCGGCGUGCUUAACACAUGCAAGUCGAGCGGUAAGGCCCUUUCGGGGGUACACGAGCGGCGAACGGGUGAGUAACACGUGGGUGACCUGCCCUCAGCUCUGGGAUAAGCCUGGGAAACCGGGUCUAAUACCGGAUAUGACUCCAUGACGCAUGUUGUGGGGUGGAAAGCCUUGUGCGGCUGAGGAUGGGCCCGCGGCCUAUCAGCUUGUUGGUGGGGUGGAUGGCCUACCAAGGCGACGACGGGUAGCCGGCCUGAGAGGGCGACCGGCCACACUGGGACUGAGACACGGCCCAGACUCCUACGGGAGGCAGCAGUGGGGAAUCUUGCGCAAUGGGCGAAAGCCUGACGCAGCGACG